UACGAAGGGGGGCUAGCGUUGCUCGGAAUUACUGGGCGUAAAGGGCGCGUAGGCGGCUUAGUUAGUCAGGCGUGAAAUUCCUGGGCUCAACCUGGGGACUGCGCUUGAUGACGGCUAGGCUAGAGGAUGGAAGAGGGUCGCGGAAUUCCCAGUGUAGGAGGUGAAAAUUCCGUAGAUAUUGGGAAGAACACCGGUGGCGAAGGCGGCGACCUGGUCCAUUACUGACG
rnacentral:rRNA from 1 species